UUUCCAGACUCCUACGGGAGGCAGCAGUGAGGAAUAUUGGUCAAUGGCCGGAAGGCUGAACCAGCCAAGCCGCGUGAAGGACGAAGGUGCCAAGCCUUGUAAACUUCUUUUGUCAAGGGACAAAAUCAGGCUCGAGAGCCUGACCGAGGGUACUUGAAGAAAAAGCAUCGGCUAACUCCGUGCCAGCAGCCGCGGUAAUACGGAGGAUGCGAGCGUUAUCCGGAUUUAUUGGGUUUAAAGGGUGCGUAGGCGGACUGUUAAGUCGGGGGUAAAGCCCCGGGGCCCACCCCCGGCGAGCCGUUGAAACUGGCUGUCUUGAGAUGUCGAGAGGUAUGCGGAAUGCGCAGUGUAGCGGUGAAAUGCAUAGAUAUCACGCAGAACUCCGAUUGCGAAGGCAGCAUACCGGCGCUCAACUGACGCUCAUGCACGAAAGUGUGGGUAUCGAACAGGAUUAGAUACCCUUGUAA
rnacentral:rRNA from 1 species